AACGAACGCUGGCGGCAGGCCUAACACAUGCAAGUCGAACGCUCGUAGCAAUACGAGAGUGGCAGACGGGUGAGUAACACGUGGGAACCUUCCCUAUGGUUCGGAAUAGCUCAGGGAAACUUGGGGUAAUACCGGAUAAGCCCUUCGGGGAAAGAUUUAUCGCCAUUGGAUGGGCCCGCGUCGGAUUAGCUAGUUGGUGAGGUAACGGCUCACCAAGGCAACGAUCCGUAGCUGGUCUGAGAGGAUGAUCAGCCACACUGGGACUGAGACACGGCCCAGACUCCUACGGGAGGCAGCAGUGGGGAAUAUUGGACAAUGGGCGCAAGCCUGAUCCAGCCAUGCCGCGUGAGUGACGAAGGUCUUCGGAUUGUAAAACUCUUUUGGCGGGACGAUAAUGACGGUACCCGCAGAAUAAGCCCCGGCUAACUUCGUGCCAGCAGCCGCGGUAAC
rnacentral:rRNA from 1 species